GUGCGAGGGGAGGGAGCCCCAGGGUGGGGGGGCCGGGCGGGCCGGGCGUGACGCGCGGUCAAAGUGCAAUGAUUUUUCAGUUCGGUUGGCUAAACAGGGUCAGAGCUAAGAGCUAGCGAAAGAGGGUCCCUGCCCGGCCGCGUGCGCCUCUUCGGUCCGUCGAGGACAGUGGGGCAGUGGGCGCUGUGGGAUUACGGGGGCGAGGUCAGAAGCUGCAGGCCAGCUGGGCCGGGGCCCAAGGUGCCCGGCGAGGUACCCUCGGGAGGACUGAGGUGGGGGUGGCGCUCCUUUCCCAAGUGGUGGUGUGAGGGGCAGGCAGGGACGAUGAGGGCGACAGAUGUGGGGACGUGUUUAGGAGAGGAAACAACCCACAAAAAAAAUAUAGGGGAAAUUAACCUUUUUUUGUUUUGUUUUGUUUUCAUUGAACCAAGUGCAAUGCAUCAGAGAGUUUUUCCUAUCUUUGUAUGUUAAGAGAUUAAGAAAAAUUUCUAUUUUUGUUGUAAUGUCCUCGCGGCUCUGGGGACGCUAAAAGAACUGGGCCUGCUCUGCCCUUAGCGGGGAUGAAAGCUGAGUGUUUUCCUUUUUCCUUUUUUUUUUUUUUUUUUACUUUUUGAUAGUUUUCUGGUUUUUUUUUUUUUUUGUUUGUUUGUUUGUUGGUUUGGUUGGUUGGGUUUUUGCCGUUUUCCUGCGUUGACGAGGAUAAUCUGGGGUUUUCAUUUGUUUCGUCGUUCGGUUUCGGUGGGAGGGCUGAAGAAAACGUUCACAGUUUAUAUUUUAAAAACACCUCGACAUUUAAAAAAACCAACACAAGAUCAAAAGGAAAAGGACGAGAGAAAAUUAUUUUUAAGAUAAUUAAACAUAAAAACCCUGGUGCUUAUUACAUUAUAAAGUACGUUUUUAAAAAAAACCCACAAACUAUUAUACAUACGUUUAUGAAUCAAUUAAAUACUCUGCACUUGUUAGGAACACGCAUAUCCCUUCUUUGUUGAGUUUAACGGAACGGGACAGCGGCGUGCGCCCCGCGGCUGGGCUGCUCUGGCCGCGGGUCUCCCCAGGCGCCCCCUCCCCCUUCCUCGCCCCCUCCCCCUCCGGGCACUGGGGCGCGGCGGGGGUCCCCGGCCCCCUCCCCAGCAGAGGUCAAUGCCAACGAACAAACGUCCCUUUUCCCUCCCUCCCCACUCCGAGCGCCCUUCUUUGAGCCAGACGCCAACUUGACCCUCACCAGCAUUAAUCAGGAGCGCGCUCAGCAAGUUGGUAGUUUCCUCCCCGACCCCUUCCCGCGUAACACCACUCUUCCCCCUCCCUCCGGGAGGUUCGAUGCUCCAGGACAGGUCCAGCCAUGCUGACAGGUCGAUUUGCCCAGGCCCGCGCCCGCACGCACGCACGCACACAGCCCGGCACACAUCCCCACCCUACCCUGCAACCAGCCCUGUCGACUGCCUUACACACCCGCCCCCGCGCUGGCCGGCCGACCUAGUGCCUUGUUCUCACCCCCGUGCUGGCGGAGCGGACGCCGCGCUCUGGGUCCCAGAGGGGCCGGGUGGCUCAGACGACCCACCGUUUCCCCACCCCGACCGUGCUGAACGGACCCCCCCACGAGAGAAAAAUAAAGGAGCAAUAAAGUUAUGAGAACUUUGUCCCCCAAUCGAGAGCCCUAGGGGCACCCUAGCCCCACCUCUGCUCCCCUCACCCCAUCCACCCUCGGGGCGUCCCCCCCCCUGCGCAAGCCAGCUGGGGCCAGCCCCCGCUUUGGCCCCUCUUGGGAGAUCCGUGCGCCCCACCAGCACCAGCAUCGCGGACCGCAAAGGCCGCCCGUCCCGUCAAACAAGUUUCUUCUUAGGCUAAGAAACGCAGUAUAUACGAGUAUCUCUAUAUAUAUAGUACUAAUGGAUUUGGUGUGCUUCCCCUUAGCGUCCCUUCCCUCUGCUCCUCUUUCAGCCUGGUCUCCCUUCUCUGCCCUCCAACCCCCUCCCCCGUCUCUGCACUGAGAUACAUAAGAAACAAGGGUAGUUUACUGUCUGUUUUGUUUUCUGGGUUUUCAGUGUCCUAGCGGAAUGCAAGUAGGCAGCCAGCCCGUCUGUCCCCUCUCCGCCCGCCCCGCCCCACCCCACCCCCGUCACUGCGCUUCUGUUAUACCAUCUUUGCCUGACUCUUCGGCUUCUCCAUUGAAUGGCUAAUGUGUAUGUGAAAUAAAGAAAUAAAGAAAAACAAAUGCAA
rnacentral:lncRNA from 1 species